rnacentral:rRNA from 1 species
AGAUUAAGUUAUUAAGGGCGCACGGUGGAUGCCUUGGCACUAGAAGCCGAUGAAGGACGUUACUAACGACGAUAUGCUUUGGGGAGCUGUAAGUAAGCUUUGAUCCAGAGAUUUCCGAAUGGGGAAACCCAGCAUGAGUUAUGUCAUGUUAUCGAUAUGUGAAUACAUAGCAUAUCAGAAGGCACACCCGGAGAACUGAAACAUCUUAGUACCCGGAGGAAGAGAAAGAAAAUUCGAUUCCCUUAGUAGCGGCGAGCGAAACGGGAAGAGCCCAAACCAAAAAGCUUGCUUGUUGGGGUUGUAGGACACUCUAUACGGAGUUACAAAGGACGACAUUAGACGAAUCAUCUGGAAAGAUGAAUCAAAGAAGGUAAUAAUCCUGUAGUCGAAAAUGUUGUCUCUCUUGAGUGGAUCCUGAGUACGACGGAGCACGUGAAAUUCCGUCGGAAUCUGGGAGGACCAUCUCCUAAGGCUAAAUACUCUCUAGUGACCGAUAGUGAACCAGUACCGUGAGGGAAAGGUGAAAAGCACCCCGGAAGGAGAGUGAAAUAGAACCUGAAACCGUGUGCUUACAAGUAGUCAGAGCCCGUUAAUGGGUGAUGGCGUGCCUUUUGUAGAAUGAACCGGCGAGUUACGAUUUGAUGCAAGGUUAAGCAGUAAAUGUGGAGCCGUAGCGAAAGCGAGUCUGAAUAGGGCGUUUAGUAUUUGGUCGUAGACCCGAAACCAGGUGAUCUACCCUUGGUCAGGUUGAAGUUCAGGUAACACUGAAUGGAGGACCGAACCGACUUACGUUGAAAAGUGAGCGGAUGAACUGAGGGUAGCGGAGAAAUUCCAAUCGAACCUGGAGAUAGCUGGUUCUCUCCGAAAUAGCUUUAGGGCUAGCCUCAAGUGAUGAUUAUUGGAGGUAGAGCACUGUUUGGACGAGGGGCCCCUCUCGGGUUACCGAAUUCAGACAAACUCCGAAUGCCAAUUAAUUUAACUUGGGAGUCAGAACAUGGGUGAUAAGGUCCGUGUUCGAAAGGGAAACAGCCCAGACCACCAGCUAAGGUCCCAAAAUAUAUGUUA